rnacentral:lncRNA from 1 species
UUCCCACUCCAUCCUCAGAACGUCUGGGCAGUGCUAAGAGGCUGGGGUUGGGGGGAGCAGACCCGCCAACAGGAGGGACCCACGAUACACCCAGUAAAUUCAAGCAGAAACUCACAGAGUGGGGCCAUUACCAAGCUGGGUGGGUCCUAGCACCCUGGAGGCUGAAGAGAGAAAGAGAGAGACAAAGGGACAGACGUGGAAGGGGAGAAAUGGAGGAGAGAGGCCAGAAAUAGCGGGAACUAAGACUGACACAAAGCUAGGUGCAUCCCCACAUCUGAGAUCGCGGUGACAAACAUAGACUCAGUGACCUGAGAGGAACCCAGGUUCUGGGAAGAACUGAGAGCCACAGACCUAAAGCACAAGACAUAGGGACCUGGCCGGCUGAGCAGUGCACUGGGAGGCAAAGGCCUAUAGAGAAGGGAAGAGGGGAAAGAUGGGAGCGGAGGAAGGAGGGAGGCGAUGAGGUUGCCUAAGGUGAUGCAGCCUUCUGGCCAAGAGCUUCCCUGGACUCCCAGGACCUGGAACUCAGGUGGAGGAGAAGAACCUAAGCCUGGGGCGGGAAGCGGCAGCCCAGCAAUCCAGAACACCACUCAAAAUGCCAGACCACCUGGUGUUGAAACAGACCUCCACUCCCACUCAGUCCUAGCAAUCAGGUUUUCCUGGGACCCCUGGAAAUGUCCUGUUUCUAAACUCUGUGCUGACCAGUCUCCAGCAGGCUCCCUCCCUUAGCUGCUGCAAGAAGCUAGAGAGCUUGAAGUGAAUGACAAUUUGGAGAAACAGCCGCAGCCUGAAGAUCUAAGAGGCUCUAAAGAAGAUGGAUAAGAAAAUCGAUGCAUAAUAAAAGCUGCAGGCAAAGCCACCUUGACACAGGGCCGGAUCUCCCCAGGUUGGAGGAGGUGGAUGACGUCAUCCUCGAAGCACCCACGUUUCAUGGGAUGUGCACAGGAGCUCACUGAAAAUGUAUUGCGCGACCAGGCUUGUGAAGGAAACAACAGUCUACUCGAAAUUGCAGUCUUACCUCGUGGGGCAUCUCAGAGGCUUCAACGCGUUAAUAAACAUUUGAAUCUUGAGAAGGGAGCACAGCGUGUAAUAUUGUUCAAAUUAUCAGGCCCUGCAACACUCAUUAGUUCCUCUUACGCAGCUGGGCACGGUGGUACGUGCCUUUAAUCUCAGUACUCAGGCGGCACUGAUACUGGGAUCUCAGUGACAUCCAGCCUGGUCUCCAGAGCACGUUCCAGGCCACCCAGAUGAGAUGCUCACAGAAAGACCCUGUCUUGACACAAGCAAAUAGUGUUACAUUAGUGUUCCCUAAAAUUCAAGGUAGGGAAUGCUGACGUGGAAUGAAUAUCGGGAAUUAGAAGACCUGGAGCUUUAUCCUCUCUGCUUCUCAUUUUUGUGGUUAAGAAAGUCACUCUACCUCCCCGUCUCUGGGAAAUGAAAUGAUGUGGAGUAAACAAUCCUUUAAGCCUCUUCUGGUUAUGUCCACAGGUAGACCCGGGAUCCUAAGCACCAGAAAUAAAAUCUAAAAUCGAUGUCUGGGUACCCCAUAAAAGACACACAAAUAGUAGAACAAAACAUUUUGCUGGCAUGUGGCUGAAGAACCUGGGUACACACACUUUUCAGGAAGGGAAAGACACAGAAAUAAAAUGUCAGUGUUUCCGACAUAGUUAAGGGUAAAAAGUUGAAGCUAGGAAGCCUCCUUGGAAGACAGGAGACAAGAACGUGGUCUCCGAUAACAGGCCUGGCUGGGAGGGGAUGUCUUGGGUUUUCAGGGACUCCUGCUUGGCAGAAAAUGAAUGGCAGAGAAUGAAAGAUAUCUUGGGAAAGUGAUGGGAUGGGCCAGAUUCUGGCACUCUAGUAUGCUCUGUCUGGAGCUCUUGGGAUAGGGGGUCAGUACACAUUUCACUCUGAGUCAGCCCCAGGGUGUUUAGACAAGAUGCUCACAUCUGCUGGUCCCCUUGGAAGAGGGGUAGAUUCCUUAGUGGGUGGCUUAAACCGUUUGCCUCUUCUUGCAGCAGGUGUGGUGGGGUAGAGUCUUGGAUUCAGUAUGAGCCUCUGGGCACUGUCACUUAGGGAAGAUAAGAGUGAUGAGCAUAGACUCUUAUCUUUAUAGCUUUUCUGGUUUGAUUUAUAUGUUCCGUGUGUGUGUGUGUGUGUGUGUGUGUGUGUGUGUGUGUGUGUACAUGCACCUGCUUAGUGUAUGAAGAGUGUGCACUUGCACACACAGAGGUCACAUGGCCAGGCCUUAUAUGUAAUCUGUGUUUGCAAUGUGAUUAUGUACCUAUAGAGCAUUACAUAAAGUUGCAUUUUGUGUGUUGUUUAAAAUGGUGCAUAUACUAUGUAUGUGUGUAGAUAACGUUUUUGCUUUAUAUGUCAGGCUUAUUCUCACCUGUAUAGUUUUUACACAGAUGUUUGUAUAUAUUUACACACCUGUAUCACAGGCUGUAUCUCUCUGAGCUACUUAUGUUCCCAUUUCCUUGUCUUUGGGGUGGGUGGGUGGGAUUGUUUCAUUAGAUCAACAAGUGUUUACUGGGAGCUUACUAUGAGUUGAACAUGUGUCUGUAUAAUCUGUCUAUCUGUGGAGUGUAUCCGCAUCUGUGUUUUAUCAGCAACAGGAUUUUAAAAAAUAUAUGUAUAUCCCAGUUUCCUGAUUACUUAAAUACUUUAAACUUUAUACUGCAUAUCAUUGUCAGCUGCUCCCAAGUACCUCUUGAACAAAGCAGGAGAUAACUAGCCAUAUUUAAUUUAUGUACACCUGCCUAGUGUGGUUACAUUGGAGUAGAUAAAAUCCAUGCAUGCCAUGAUCUUGUUCAUCAUAUUGAAAUACAACUUGCUCCCAGGCCUCUGUUCCAUCUUUUUCUUUUUCUCCUAAGAGAACUAAGAAAACACCUCAAAUACCUCUACUUUUCCCUUCCUGCCCUCUCCCACCCAGGAAACAAGGGUAGGACAAAGUCCUACUGAUUUUGAGUCCAGGCAUUUGAGAAGAUUCUCUUUUCUUUUGCCUCUCCCUGGGCUGCUCUUUUCUAUCCUUCACAUAGGUCUCCCAAUCCCUCGAAAGAUAGAGACAAGGUUUUCUUUUCCCCAGGGAAACCAGAGGGAGUGCAAGAGAGAUCUUGCUUGAAGGGAAUCUUCUAUUUUAUGGGCUUGGAGAAUAAUGUUCCUUCGUUAAGAUAGCAUCUCAGCAGAAUGAGAGAGGCCUCUGCUCUUCCCCCAAAGAGCUGUUUUUUAUUUUUCCUUAAGGGGGUAGGGGUACAUUAAAUAAACCUGUUUUUAAAAAAGUACCUUUGCAUCAAGGAAAUGUGUUAUUAUUGUAAUUGUCUAAUGCUAAUUAUACUUAUUACUAUAAUAAGCAUUUUGUUGUAACAAAUGAUGUAAUCCUCUUUAUUUCUGUCGCCGCCAGAAGUGAGUGGUGUGUCUAUAAGGAGAGGGGGGAUUGGGGAGUAG